AAGAGAAAACAAGCACAACAGAGAGGAGGAGACUACUGUGUGUGUGUGUGUGUGUGUGUGUGUGUGUGUGUGUGUGUGUGUGUGUGUGUGUGUGUGUGUGUGUGUGUGUGUGUGUGUGUGUGUGUGUGUGUGUGGCGCACGUGUGUGCGUUUGUGAGAGAGAGAGAGAGAGAGAGAGAGAGAGAGAGAGAGAGCGUUUAUGUGUGUUACAUGUCUACAAAUUACAAGCUAACAAUUGUAUUACGUGGCCAGAUUAGUUUUUCCUCUACAGGACAGAAAAAGAGUCAGAACGGCCAGGAGAGGUCCUACUGGAUUGAAUCAGAGAAGUUUGCAUGUUACACAAACUAAAGUACACUUGCAAGUUGAGUUUUUUUGUUUGACUCUUCGUAGAUAAUGUGUCUCUCACAGAGUGAAACUGAAUCAGGAGGAAUGAUCUGACAGUUACAAAUGAAGCUGUAUGUUAUUGUUUUCCUGGGAGUUCAGCGAUGCCCAUCCUGAUCGUCUGAAACUGUGAUGACGUCUCGGUUCAUUUAGAUGGAGAUGAAUCACAGACUCAGAACUGACAAUUAUAUCAACAGAGAUUCGUCGUGAAGUCCUAAAUUCUUUAGGGUUUCUGUGGCUAAGUCAAAGAAGGAGUGACAGGGAAAGCCCUUCGUACAUCAGCUGAUAUUCUCAAAGUGCUGUACAGAAACCCAGCCUAAAACCCCAAACAGCAAGCAAAGCAUGUGAAAGAAGCACGGUGGCUAGGAAAAACUCCCUAGGAAAAAAACCUAGAGAAGAAACCUAGAAAGGCCAAAAACCUAGGAAGAAACCUAGAGAGGAACCAGGCUAUGAGGGGUGGCCAGUCCUCUUCUGUCUGUGCAGGGUGGAUAUUAUAACAGAACAUGGUCAAGAUGUUAAAAUGUUAAAAUGUUCAUAAAUGACCAGCAUGGUCAAAUAAUAAUAAUCAUAGUAGUUGUCGAGGGUGCAACAAGCACGUCCGGUGAACAGGUCAGGGUUCCAUAGCCGCAGGCAGAACAGUUGAAACUGGAGCAGCAGCACGGCCAGGUGGACUGGGGACAGCAAGGAGUCAUCAUACCAGGUAGUCCUGAGGCAUGGUCCUAGGGCUCAGGUCCUCCGAGAGAAAGACAGAAAGAGAGAAAGGGAGAAUUAGAGAGAGCAUAUUUAAAUACACACAGGACACCGGAUAAGACAAGAGAAAUACUCCAGAUGUAACAGACUGACCCUAGCCCCCCGACACAUAAACUACUGCAGCAUAAAUACUGGAGGCUGAGACAGGAGGGAUCAGAAGACACUGUGGCCCCAUCCGAUGAUACCCCGGACAGGGCCAAACAGGCAGGAUAUAACCCCACCCACUUUGCCAAAGCACAGCCCCCACACCACUAGAGGGAUGUCUCCAACCAC
rnacentral:lncRNA from 1 species